rnacentral:rRNA from 1 species
CAGGCGGUUUGUUAAGCUAGAUGUGAAAGCCCCGGGCUCAACCUGGGAUGGUCAUUUAGAACUGGCAGACUAGAGUCUUGGAGAGGGGAGUGGAAUUCCAGGUGUAGCGGUGAAAUGCGUAGAUAUCUGGAGGAACAUCAGUGGCGAAGGCGACUCCCUGGCCAAAGACUGACGCUCAUGUGCGAAAGUGUGGGUAGCGAACAGGAUUAGAUACCCUGGUAGUCCACACCGUAAACGCUGUCUACUAGCUGUGUGUGCCUUUAAGGCGUGCGUAGCGAAGCUAACGCGCUAAGUAGACCGCCUGGGGAGUACGGCCGCAAGGUUAAAACUCAAAUGAAUUGACGG